UUAAAUUGAAGAGUUUGAUCAUGGCUCAGAUUGAACGCUGGCGGCAGGCCUAACACAUGCAAGUCGAACGGUAACAGGAAGCAGCUUGCUGCUUUGCUGACGAGUGGCGGACGGGUGAGUAAUGUCUGGGAAACUGCCUGAUGGAGGGGGAUAACUACUGGAAACGGUGGCUAAUACCGCAUAACGUCGCAAGAACAAAGGGGGGGGCCUUCGGG
rnacentral:rRNA from 1 species